rnacentral:rRNA from 1 species
UAAUUGAAGAGUUUGAUCAUGGCUCAGAUUGAACGCUGGCGGCAGGCCUAACACAUGCAAGUCGAGCGGCAGCACAGAGGAACUUGUUCCUUGGGUGGCGAGCGGCGGACGGGUGAGUAAUGCCUGGGAAAUUGCCCGGUAGAGGGGGAUAACCAUUGGAAACGAUGGCUAAUACCGCAUAACCUCGUAAGAGCAAAGCAGGGGACCUUCGGGCCUUGCGCUACCGGAUAUGCCCAGGUGGGAUUAGCUAGUUGGUGAGGUAAGGGCUCACCAAGGCGACGAUCCCUAGCUGGUCUGAGAGGAUGAUCAGCCACACUGGAACUGAGACACGGUCCAGACUCCUACGGGAGGCAGCAGUGGGGAAUAUUGCACAAUGGGCGCAAGCCUGAUGCAGCCAUGCCGCGUGUAUGAAGAAGGCCUUCGGGUUGUAAA